rnacentral:rRNA from 1 species
CCUACGGGAGGCAGCAGUGGGGGAUAUUGCACAAUGGGGGAAACCCUGAUGCCGCGACGCCGCGUGAGUGAAGAAGUAUUUCGGUAUGUAAAGCUCUAUCAGCAGGGACGAAAAUGACAGUACCUGACCAAGAAGCCACGGCUAACUACGUGCAAGCAGCAGCGGUAAUACGGAGGGGGCAAGCGGUAUCCGUAUUUACUGGGUGUAAAGGGAGCGUCGACGGUUAUGUAAGCUUGGAGUGAAAGCUCGGGGCCCAACCCCGGGACUGCUUUGGACACUGGGUAACUGGAGUACCGGAGGGGCAGGCGGAAUUCCUGGUGUAGAGGUGAAAUGCGUAGAUAUCAGGAGGAACCCCGGCGGCGAAGGCGGCCUGCUGGACUGAAACUGACGUUGAGGCUCGAAAGCGUGGGGAGCGAACAGGAUUAGAUACCCCUGUAGUC